GGAGGGAUACCAAAGCGGACGAAUGGGCCUCACUCGAAAUGAGGUGUUCUGAGCAAUCGGGACCGGGAGUUCAAAUCUCCCUCCCUCCG
rnacentral:tRNA from 1 species